AAAAAGUUUCUUGGAUCUAAUUCUGAUUGACAUGAUGAAAUGUAAUAUGAAAUGCUAAAUGAAUGCAUGAAUGAGGAGGGCAAAUUUUGGGCUGUUACAACUGCCCCUAUUCAAUCAUCAGCUAACCCGAGUAGGAUGAAAGCGAACAGCUUAUCAGACAAACGGGGUGAGCUGUAAUUGAAUACCAAAGACAGACCGAAAAUUUGCGCUCCGAGAACACCACAAAAACGCGGAAAUACACCGCGCUGUUUAUUUCUCUUCCGAUCCUCUGGCUGGAUCUGAAUCAGUCUUCUGGCUUAAUCUGGAGUUUCGAUCCUCUGGCUGAACCUAUACUCAAUUUAGUCCUCUGGUUGGAUAUUAAUUUUGAU
rnacentral:lncRNA from 1 species